rnacentral:rRNA from 1 species
UACAGAGGUCUCAAGCGUUAUUCGGAUUCACUGGGCGUAAAGGGUGCGCAGGCGGCCGUGUGUGUGAGGCGUGAAAGCCCGGGGCCUUAACCCCGGAAUUGCACCUCAAACUACACGGCUAGAGCAUUGGAGAGGGUAGCAGAAUUCAUGGUGUAGCAGUGAAAUGCGUAGAUAUCAUGAGGAAUACCAGAGGCGAAGGCGGCUACCUGGACAAUUGCUGACGCUCAGGCACGAAAGCGUGGGGAGCAAAAGGG